rnacentral:rRNA from 1 species
GACGAACGCUGGCGGCGUGCUUAACACAUGCAAGUCGAACGGAAAGGCCCUGCUUUUGUGGGGUGCUCGAGUGGCGAACGGGUGAGUAACACGUGAGUAACCUGCCCUUGACUUUGGGAUAACUUCAGGAAACUGGGGCUAAUACCGGAUAGGAGCUCCUGCUGCAUGGUGGGGGUUGGAAAGUUUCGGCGGUUGGGGAUGGACUCGCGGCUUAUCAGCUUGUUGGUGGGGUAGUGGCUUACCAAGGCUUUGACGGGUAGCCGGCCUGAGAGGGUGACCGGCCUCAUUGGGACUGAGAUACGGCCCAGACUCCUACGGGAGGCAGCGGUGGAGAAUAUUGCACAGUGGGCGGAAGCCUGAUGCAGCAACGCCGCGUGCGGGAUACCGGCCUUCGGGUUGUAAACCGCUUUCGCCUGUGACGAAGCGUGAGUGACGGUAAUGGGUAAAGAAGCACCGGCUAACUACGUG